rnacentral:rRNA from 1 species
AUGAGGGGAAAAUCACAAGGUCAAGGUACACUCAACUUCGAGCCGGGUUCAUCACUUACAUCUGUUUGCACUAAAUAUAAUCCUGAAGAAACUCGUAAGAACAUUGCUAAGAUGGUAAUUGUGCAUGAUUAUCCUUUUAGAAUGGUAGAACACAAAUGGUUUAAUAUCUUGAUGAGACAUAUGAAUCCAGCAUAUAAGUUCAUUGGUAGAAAGACCAUAAGAAAAGAGUGCAUCAAGGUUUAUGAAUCUGAGAAGGAACUUCUUAAGAAGAGUUUCAGGUAUGUCGAACAUAUUUGUUUAACAAGUGACUUGUGGACAUCAAAUCAAAAUCUCUCCUACAUGGCUUUGGUCGCUCACUACAUAGAUGUCCAUUGGGUUAUGCAAUGUCGUGUCCUGAACUUUAUUGAGUUAGAUCCACCACAUUCAGGAAGCAUCAUAGCUCAAGCAAUAUUUGAAUGUUUAUGUGAAUGGAAAAUAGAGGACAAGGUCAUCUCAAUCACAGUUGACAAUGCUAGAAAUAAUGAUGGAGAUGUGAGGAAUUUGAUUAACAAGUUUGUUGCAAGGAAAGUACCUGGCUUCAUUUCCACACAUUUUCAUGUUCGUUGUUGUGCUCACAUAGUCAACUUGGUAGUCAAUGAUGGUUUGGCACCAUUGCAAGCUUUUAUUAGCUCGCUAAGGGAAACUGUGAAGUAUUUGAAGAAGUCUCCUAGUCGCAUGUAUAAAUUCCUUGAAGUUUGUAAAACACUGAAUAUAGAACCUGGGGCUGGACAUAGAUGUGUCAACAAGGUGGAAUUCAACAUAUAA